AUUGAACGCUGGCGGAAUGCUUUACACAUGCAAGUCGAACGGCAGCACGGACUUCGGUCUGGUGGCGAGUGGCGAACGGGUGAGUAACAUAUCGGAACGUAUCCAAUAAUGGGGGAUAACGAGUCGAAAGAUUCGCUAAUACCGCAUACGCCCUACGGGGGAAAGCUGGGGACCUUCGGGCCUGGCGUUAAUGGAGCGGCCGAUAUCUGAUUAGCUAGUUGGUGAGGUAAAGGCUCACCAAGGCGACGAUCAGUAGCUGGUCUGAGAGGACGACCAGCCACAUUGGAACUGAGACACGGUCCAGACUCCUACGGGAGGCAGCAGUGGGGAAUUUUGGACAAUGGGCGCAAGCCUGAUCCAGCCAUUCCGCGUGAGUGAAGAAGGCCUUCGGGUUGUAAAGCUCUUUCGCAAGGGAAGAAAACUUAGCCACUAACAUUGGUUGAGGUUGACGGUACCUUGAUAAGAAGCCCCGGCUAACUACGUGCCAGCCGCCGCGGUAA
rnacentral:rRNA from 1 species